GAUGAACGCUGGCGGCGUGCCUAAUACAUGCAAGUCGAGCGAACAGAUGAGGAGCUUGCUCCUCUGACGUUAGCGGCGGACGGGUGAGUAACACGUGGAUAACCUACCUAUAAGACUGGGAUAACUUCGGGAAACCGGAGCUAAUACCGGAUAAUAUAUUGAACCGCAUGGUUCAAUAGUGAAAGACGGUUUUGCUGUCACUUAUAGAUGGAUCCGCGCCGCAUUAGCUAGUUGGUAAGGUAACGGCUUACCAAGGCGACGAUGCGUAGCCGACCUGAGAGGGGUGUCGGCCAACUCGGAAAUGAAGCAAGGUCCCAACUCCUAACGGAAGGCACAGUUGGGGAACCUCCCGAAUUGGCCGAAGCCUUGCCGAGCCACCGCGCGUUGGUUGAGGAAGGUCUUGGAUCCUUAAACUCUUGUUUUAGGGAAGGACCAAUGUUUUAGUAACUUAGCCCCUCUUGGAGGUUACUAAUCAGAAAGCCACGGCUAACUACGUG
rnacentral:rRNA from 1 species